UGCUUGAGAGUGGCGAACGGGUGAGUAAUAUAUCGGAACGUGCCCAGUCGUGGGGGAUAACGUAGAGAAAUUUACGCUAAUACCGCAUACGAUCUAAGGAUGAAAGCGGGGGAUUCUGCAAGGAGCCUCGCGCGAUUGGAGCGGCUGAUAUCAGAUUAGGUUGUUGGUGAGGUAAAAGCUCACCAAGCCGACGAUCUGUAGCUGGUUUGAGAGAACGACCAGCCACACUGGGACUGAGACACGGCCCAGACUCCUACGGGAGGCAGCAGUGGGGAAUUUUGGACAAUGGGCGAAAGCCUGAUCCAGCAAUGCCGCGUGCAGGAAGAAGGCCUUCGGGUUGUAAACUGCUUUUGUACGGAACGAAACGGUCUGCUCUAAUACAGUGGGCUAAUGACGGUACCGUAAGAAUAAGCACCGGCUAACUACGUGCCAGCAGCCGCGGUAAUACGUAGGGUGCGAGCGUUAAUCGGAAUUACUGGGCGUAAAGCGUGCGCAGGCGGUUAUAUAAGACAGUUGUGAAAUCCCCGGGCUCAACCUGGGAAUUGCAUUUGUGACUGUAUAGCUAGAGUACGGUAGAGGGGGAUGGAAUUCCGCGUGUAGCAGUGAAAUGCGUAGAUAUGCGGAGGAACACCGAUGGCGAAGGCAAUCCCCUGGACCUGUACUGACGCUCAUGCACGAAAGCGUG
rnacentral:rRNA from 1 species